rnacentral:rRNA from 1 species
UAAUACGGAGGGUGCAAGCGUUAUUCGGAAUUAUUGGGCGUAAAGGGCGCGUAGGCGGCCUCUUAAGUCAGAUGUGAAAGCCCGGGGCUUAACCCCGGAAGUGCAUUUGAAACUAAGGGGCUUGAGUAUGGGAGAGGGAAGUGGAAUUCCUGGUGUAGCGGUGAAAUGCGUAGAUAUCAGGAGGAACACCGGUGGCGAAGGCGACUUCCUGGACCAAUACUGACGCUGAGGCGCGAAGGCGUGGGGAGCAAACAGGAUUAGAUACCCUGGUAGUCCACGCAGUAAACGGUGAACACUAGGUGUAGCGGGUAUUGACCCCUGCUGUGCCGCAGCUAACGCAUUAAGUGUUCCGCCUGGGGAGUACGAUCGCAAGAUUA